rnacentral:rRNA from 1 species
CAAAUUUCUGCCCUAUCAACUUUUCGAUGGUAGAGUAGUGGUCUACCAUGGUUUCAACGGGUACGGGGAAUUAGGGUUCUAUUCCGGAGAGGGAGCCUGAGAAACGGCUACCACAUCCAAGGAAGGCAGCAGGCGCGCAAAUUACCCAAUCCCGACACGGGGAGGUAGUGACAAUAAAUACCUGAUACAGGGCUCUUUUGGGUCUUGUAAUUGGAAUGAGUGCAUUUAAAUCCCUUAACGAGGAACAAUUGGAGGGCAAGUCUGGUGCCAGCAGCCGCGGUAAUUCCAGCUCCAAUACGAGUAUAUAAAAGUU